rnacentral:rRNA from 1 species
ACGCUCGACACCUACGAGAGGCAGCAGUGGGGAAUAUUGCACAAUGGGGGAAACCCUGAUGCAGCGACGCCGCGUGGAGGAAGAAGGUCUUCGGAUUGUAAACUCCUGUUGUUGGGGAAAAAGAGGAUGGUACCCAACAAGGAAGUGACGGCUAACUACGUGGCAGCAGCCGCGGUAAUCUGAGCGGGCUGGCAAGGC